AUAUAAAUUACGAAAGCAAAAAAUUAUGGCGGUAUCUUAAGCUUUUCAGAGGAAUUUGCUCUUUAAUGGAUAAAACACCCAAAUCUUACUUAAAUUGGUUAAAUCAGUUUGUAUACCACUAUAAAAAUUAUAAUUUACUUUUAUUAUUUCUCUUCUUUAAAGAAAUAAAUUAAGUCAAGGUGCAGCUAAAAUUUAAGGUUGAAGUGAAUUACAUUUCUUUAAAGAAAUAAAACAAUGAAAUAAAAUAUAGGAUUUGAUAGUAAAAUUAAAAUAGAAAGUUAA
rnacentral:rRNA from 1 species